rnacentral:rRNA from 1 species
UACGUAGGGCGCAAGCGUUGUCCGGAAUUAUUGGGCGUAAAGAGCUCGUAGGCGGUGUGUCGCGUCGGCCGUGAAAACCUGGGGCUCAACUCUGGGCGUGCGGUCGAUACGGGCAUCACUUGAGUUCGGCAGGGGAGACUGGAAUUCCUGGUGUAGCGGUGAAAUGCGCAGAUAUCAGGAGGAACACCGGUGGCGAAGGCGGGUCUCUGGGCCGAUACUGACGCUGAGGAGCGAAAGCGUGGGGAGCGAACAGG